CCUACGGGUGGCAGCAGUGGGGAAUAUUGCACAAUGGGGGAAACCCUGAUGCAGCGACGCCGCGUGAGUGAUGAAGUAUUUCGGUAUGUAAAGCUCUAUCAGCAGGGAAGAUAAUGACGGUACCUGACUAAGAAGCUCCGGCUAAAUACGUGCCAGCAGCCGCGGUAAUACGUAUGGAGCAAGCGUUAUCCGGAUUUACUGGGUGUAAAGGGAGCGCAGACGGCAGGGCAAGUCUGAUGUGAAAGUCCGGGGCUCAACCCCGGGACUGCAUUGGAAACUGUCCGGCUAGAGUGCAGGAGAGGUAAGUGGAAUUCCUAGUGUAGCGGUGAAAUGCGUAGAUAUUGCGCAGAACUCCGAUUGCGAAGGCAGCAUACCGGCGGCGAUCUGACGCUGAGGCACGAAAGCGUGGGUAUCGAACAGGAUUAGAUACCCUUGUAGUC
rnacentral:rRNA from 1 species